GACGAACGCUGGCGGCGUGCUUAACACAUGCAAGUCGAACGGAAAGGCCCUGUACUUGUAGGGAGCUCAAGUGGCGAAAGGGUGAGAAUAACGCGAGUGGCCUGCGCUUGACAUUGGGAUAACUUAAGGAAACAGGGGCGAAUAUCGGGCAUAAGCACCUGCUGCAUGAUGGGGGUUGGUGAGAUUCGGCGGUUGGGGACGGACACGCGGCCCAUCGUCUUGUUGGUGGGGUAGUGGCUUACCAAGGCUUUGACGGGUAGCCGGACUGGGAGGGUGACCGGCCACAUUGUGCUUGGGAAGCGGGCCAGACUGAUACUGGAGGCAGCAGUGGGGGAUAUUGCAAGAAGGGCGGAGGCCGUAUGCAGCAAUGUCGCGUGCGAGAUGACGGCUUUCAGGUUGUAACGCGCGUUCGCCUGUGACGAAGCGUGAGUGACGGUAAUGGGUAAAGAAGCACCGGCUAACUACGUG
rnacentral:rRNA from 1 species